rnacentral:rRNA from 1 species
GAUGAACGCUAGCGGCAGGCCUAAUACAUGCAAGUCGAACGGUGUCUUCGGACAUAGUGGCGCACGGGUGCGUAACACGUAUGCAACCUACCUUACAUUGGGGGAUAGCCUUUCGAAGGGGAGAUUAAUACCGCAUAAGACAGUAGCUGGGCAUCCAGCAGCUGUUAAAGAUUUAUCGAUGUAAGCUGGGCAUGCGUCUAAUUAGCUAGUUGGUGAGGUAACGGCUCACCAAGGCAAUGAUUGGUAGGGGAACUGAGAGGUCAAUCCCCCACACUGGCACUGAGAUACGGGCCAGACUCCUACGGGAGGCAGCAGUAGGGAAUAUUGGGCAAUGGACGCAAGUCUGACCCAGCCAUGCCGCGUGCAGGAUGAAGGCGUUAUGCGUUGUAAACUGCUUUUAUACAGGAAGAAACGACUCUUGCGAGAGGCAUUGACGGUACUGUAUGAAUAAGCACCGGCUAACUCCGUGCCAGCCGCCGCAGUAAUAC